rnacentral:rRNA from 1 species
UACGUAGGGUGCGAGCGUUAAUCGGAAUUACUGGGCGUAAAGCGUGCGCAGGCGGUUUGUUAAGUCUGAUGUGAAAGCCCCGGGCUCAACCUGGGAAUGGCAUUGGAAACUGGCAAGCUGGAGUGUGGCAGAGGGGGGUGGAAUUCCGCGUGUAGCAGUGAAAUGCGUAGAGAUGUGGAAGAACACCGAUGGCGAAGGCAGCUCCCUGGGUUGACACUGACGCUCAUGCACGAAAGCGUGGGGAGCAAAC